GACGAACGCUGGCGGCGUGCUUAACACAUGCAAGUCGAGCGGAAAGGCCCUUCGGGGUACUCGAGCGGCGAACGGGUGGGUAACACGUGAGUAACCUGCUCCAGACUUUGGGAUAACCCCCGGAAACGGGGGCUAAUACUGGAUACGACACAGCUUCGCAUGGGGUCUGUGUGGAAAGUUCUUCGGUUUGGGAUGGGCUCGCGGCCUAUCAGCUUGUUGGUGGGGUGAUGGCCUAUCAAGGCGACGAAGGGUAGCCGGCCUGUGAGGGCGAACGGCGACACUGGGACUGAGAGACGGCGCAGACUGGUACGGGAGGCAGCAGGGGGGAAUAUUGCACAGUGGGGGGAAGCGUGAUGCAGAGGUGCCGCGUGUGGGAUGACGGCCUUCGGGUGGUAAACCUCUGUAAGCAGAGACGAAGCGGAAGUGACGGUACCUGCAGAAGAAGCGCCGGCCAACUACGUG
rnacentral:rRNA from 1 species